CACACAGAGAAUGGAAGGGAGGGAAAAGGGCAGAUACAGCUCGCCGUUAACAGGGUGAACUAACAGAGAGAGAGAAAUCACCACGGAGAGAGUUACAGGAAAUAUAUGGACUUCACUUCUACUCUGCAGCAGCUUGGAGGGACACUGAGAGGCUUGUGUGAGUGACUGAUGAUGGAGACCGAGACCACAGUGGGACCAAAGCAGGGACCGACGCUGAGGAGGAGAGCAAUGGGGAUGAAGGUCCAAAAUACACACACAUGCACAAACAGGACCUAUACCUAUACAUGCACAAAGUGGAGAGAUGUCAAAGUGAGGGGGCUGCCUUGGUCAGGUACCCUGAGCAGUUGGGGGGUUCAGUGCCUUGCUCAAGAGCACCCCAGCAGUGCCCAGGAGGUGAACUGGCUCCUCUCCAGCCACCAGUCCACGCUCUACAUUUGGUCCGGACGGGGACUUGAACCUCCGGUUCCCAACCCAAGUCCCUAUGGAUUGAGCUACUGCCGCCCAUAGUCAACAGACAGGACUCAGUCAACAGCAGACAGUGACGAAUCCCAUCUUGAGGAGCCAGCACCAUCAAGGCGUGCAAGAACGUGGUCCCAUUUGUCCACGAGAACGACUGAAAGACAGAGGGAGAUGGCGCCCUACUUUGAAGCUCUUCUGCAGCAGCAGCAGGAACAGGCAGACAAGGACCAAGAGAGCAUUCGCUCUAUCUCAAAUGUCCUUGGUCAGGCUGUCCAGUGCUUCCAGCGUUGUGUGGAGGCAGCAGAAAGGCAGGCACAUGCAGUCGAGGCCUUUUCAGGGCAACAGGGCAACAACCAUCGCACACCCUUAUUUGCCACACCAUCUGUCACUUACAACCCACAUUGGUCUACCUCCAACAGUCAACGAACACCCCCCUACAACCAACAUCCAUCUACCUCUACCAUCAACACACAGCCCCCCUACAACUAACAUCCACCAACCUCAACCAUCAAUACACAGGAUUUGUCUUUCCUAUCAUUAUUAGACCAGUAGAAAUGAGUUGCCAGUCAAAGCCGUUUCCUUUCAAAUAACUUGUUAACACACAGCCAGUUUGGUGCUAUUAGUGUCCGGGGCCUCAGCCACAUUUAAUUGUUUGGUUUUUUACCAGUUUAAGGAGACAGUUGUAUUUUAUUUUACUUGACAGUUGAGUUUGUGAUUGCACUAUCCAGGAAAUUGCUGAUCUAGACUUGAAUAUGUUUAUCGCAUUUCCAAAGAAGUGUGUGUGUGUGUGUGUGUGUGUGUGUGAGAGAGAGUGUGUGAGAGAGGGAGAGAGAGAGUCCUCCUCCCCUCUCCCUCUCCCUCUCACACGCACAUAUUUGUCACUUUCCAAAGAAUGUGUAUUGCACUUUUGAAAAAAUACCAAGUGUUCAGUUGCACUACUUCAGUUUUUAAUGUACUUGUUUAAUACUUGUUCAAUACUUGACGACCUUACAUGCUGCACUGAGCCAUGAAAUGGUAAAGGUACCAUUUAAGCCUAUGUUGGUUAUGCAUUUUGUGCAUUUUGCACUGCAGC